CGAACGGGUGAGUAACGCGUGGGGAAGUCUGCCUUUGANCGGGGACAACAUUUGGUAAACGAAUGCUAAUACCGACAUAAAACUUUAAACACAAGUUUAAGUUUGAAAGAUGCAAUUGCAUCACUCAAAGAUGAUCCCGCGUUGUAUUAGCUAGUUGGUGAGGUAAAGGCUCACCAAGGCGAUGAUACAUAGCCGACCUGAGAGGGUGAUCGGCCACAUUGGGACUGAGACACGGCCCAAACUCCUACGGGAGGCAGCAG
rnacentral:rRNA from 1 species